CAUGCGCUCCGGGGCUCGGUGGAAAUCCGAACCGGCGGUCACAGCCCGCGACCCGCCCACCAGGGCGGUUGACUCGGUGGAAUUCCGAGGCCGACGGUGAAAGUCCGGAUGGGAGGCGCGCGUG
rnacentral:ncRNA from 2 species